AACAUGCCUACAGAAAGAAGAUGUAAGGACAAAAGCAAGGAAGUUUCUUAGAAGGGGAUUCCUCUCCACUUUCAGAAAAUACUGAUGAACACAGUAGAAAAAAAUACGGAUGUUUUUCAAUACUAUACACACAUAAACAGACACCCUCAUGACUUACACUGUUCAUGUCAGUAUGCACUGUACACAGUGACAGAAACGUUUGAGGACACACCCUCAGGU